GCUUGCAUGAACUUGGAGCACUCACUGAUUAUCUUUUGCCUGAUCAAGCAGACGAAGAUAAAGACCUGGUCCCCGAUUUUUCUGACUUGGAAUGUUGUGAAGGCGAAGAUGCACGGGAAGAGCUCCAUGAGAUGAUUGUUCCUGCUUCCCUUAAAGAACCAUGGACUGAGACAGAUAAUCCUGUUUGCCUUAACUCGUACUACAUAAGCUUUUUUCCAUUCCCUAAUGAUAGGGUGUAUAAGAAGUUUGGCCUAUUUCUGAAAGCACCUCUUCCCCAAGAGGCUGAGAGAAUGAAACUUGAUCUCAACUUGGCUCGAGGUAGAUCUGUGAAGACAGAGCUUAUUCCAUCAGGAACUACUAGUUUU
rnacentral:misc_RNA from 1 species